rnacentral:rRNA from 1 species
GACGAACGCUGGCGGCGUGCCUAAUACAUGCAAGUUGAGCGAUGAAGAUUGGUGCUUGCACCAAUUUGAAGAGCAGCGAACGGAUGAGUAACGCGUGGGGAAUCUGCCUUUGAGCGGGGGACAACAUUUGGAAACGAAUGCUAAUACCGCAUAACAACUUUAAACAUAAGUUUUAAGUUUGAAAGAUGCAAUUGCAUCACUCAAAGAUGAUCCCGCGUUGUAUUAGCUAGUUGGUGAGGUAAAGGCUCACCAAGGCGAUGUUACAUAGCCGACCUGAGAGGGUGAUCGGCCACAUUGGGACUGAGACACGGCCCAAACUCCUACGGGAGGCAGCAGUAGGGAAUCUUCGGCAAUGGACGAAAGUCUGACCGAGCAACGCCGCGUGAGUGAAGAAGGGUUUCGGAUCGUAAAACUCUGUUGGUAGAGAAGAACGUUGGUGAGAGUGGAAAGCUCAUCAAGUGACGGUAACUACCCAGAAAGGGACGGCUAACUACGUG